rnacentral:rRNA from 1 species
UACGUAGGGGCGAGCGUUGUCCGGAUUUAUUGGGCGUAAAGAGCGUGUAGGCGGCCAUACAGGUCAGCUGUGAAAAACUCGAGGCUCAACCUCGAGACGUCGGUUGAAACCGUAUGGCUAGAGUCCGGAAGAGGAGAGUGGAAUUCCCGGUGUAGCGGUGAAAAUGCGCAGAUAUCAGGAAGAACACCAAUGGCGAAAGCAGCUCUCUGGGACGGUACUGACGCUGAGACGCGAAAGCGUGGGGAGCGAACAGG